rnacentral:rRNA from 1 species
CCUACGGGAGGCAGCAGUGGGGAAUAUUGCACAAUGGGCGCAAGCCUGAUGCAGCAACGCCGCGUGAGGGACGACGGCCUUCGGGUUGUAAACCUCUUUUAGUAGGGAAGAAGCGAAAGUGGCGGUACCUGCAGAAAAAGCACCGGCUAACUACGUGCCAGCAGCCGCGGUAAUACGUAGGGUGCAAGCGUUAUCCGGAAUUAUUGGGCGUAAAGAGCUCGUAGGCGGUUUGUCGCGUCUGCUGUGAAAACUGGAGGCUCAACCUCCAGCCUGCAGUGGGUACGGGCAGACUAGAGUGCGGUAGGGGAGAUUGGAAUUCCUGGUGUAGCGGUGGAAUGCGCAGAUAUCAGGAGGAACACCGAUGGCGAAGGCAGAUCUCUGGGCCGUAACUGACGCUGAGGAGCGAAAGCAUGGGGAGCGAACAGGAUUAGAUACCCUGGUAGUCCAUGCCGUAAACGUUGGGAACUAGAUGUAGGGACCAUUCCACGGUUUCUGUGUCGCAGCUAACGCAUUAAGUUCCCCGCCUGGGGAGUACGGCCGCAAGGCUAAAACUCAAAGGAAUUGACGG